rnacentral:lncRNA from 1 species
UUCUUUUAUUAAAUGCAUUGUUCAAAAAUUUAGCAGUUUUUCUAGGAUAUUUGCAGAUAAGAAGUUUAAAUUGUUCAUCUUUAGAAAGGUCUUCAAAAGAGUGUUCUAUAUCCAAUAUAAGUUGAUUUCUUAAAUCUCGGUAAAAGACACAGUCCAUCAGGAAGUGGCGUUCAUUUUCAACAUCACGUGAGUCACACAUUUUGCAAAUGCGGUCAGCUUCUGCUUCUCCGACGAACCGUCCUGUUUCGAUCCUCAAAGGAAGUAUGCCGCAUCUAAAUUGUGCCAGUAUAGAACGUUCAGAACGAGAGAGGUUCAGUCCAACAUAUGUUUCACAUUUAUAUUCUGAUUUGAAUGUUUUAUAUGUCCGCAAUUUCGGAAAGUUUGUAAUAGAGUUUUCCCAUUCAGUGGAACACAACAUGAAAAGUCUGUCUUUUACAAGAGAAAUAUCACAAGUUUGUUUUUGGUGGAAAUAAUCUUCCAAGUCAAUGUGUGACAAAAUAAGUUUAAUAUCUGAUGACCAAUUGUUCAAACACCGUUCAAGGUCCCAGUUGAAAACCUGUUUACAUACGCGUGAAUCGUCCAUUCGAAUAAGCUUGUUCCAUAGUCUAAUUAUAUUGUACCAGUGUCUUUCUUUACAUGGCAGCCAUCCAACAUCACCAUUUGUAGCAACUUUUGGGGCGAAUUUAUGAACACCUAAGAAAUAACGAAUGGCUUUGUUUUGUACCAAGUUAACACAUGCAUAGUCUUUAAAACCCCAGACAGAUGAGUUAUAGUCUAAAAUCGGUACGACACAUGAGGUAAACAGCUUUUCAAAUGUCUUAAUUCCAAAAUUCUUAAGAUUAUGAAUUUUUGAAAUAAUUCCACCGAGUGCUCGCCCUCCAGCUUCCGACAG